rnacentral:rRNA from 1 species
GUUGAACGCUGGCGGAAUGCUUUACACAUGCAAGUCGAACGGCAGCACGGACUUCGGUCUGGUGGCGAGUGGCGAACGGGUGAGUAAUGUAUCGGAACGUGCCCAGUCGUGGGGGAUAACGUAGUGAAAAUUACGCUAAUACCGCAUACGAUCUAUGGAUGAAAGCGGGGGAUCGCAAGACCUCGCGCGAUUGGAGCGGCCGAUAUCAGACUAGGUAGUUGGUGGGGUAAAGGCCCACCAAGCCAACGAUCUGUAGCUGGUCUGAGAGGACGACCAGCCACACUGGAGCUGAGACACGGUCCAGACUCCUACGGGAGGCAGCAGUGGGGAAUUUUGGACAAUGGGCGAAAGCCUGAUCCAGCCAUUCCGCGUGCAGGAUGAAGGCCCUCGGGUUGUAAACUGCUUUUGUACAGAACGAAAAGGUUUCUACUAAUACUAGGAGCUCAUGACGGUACUGUAAGAAUAAGCACCGGCUAACUACGUGCCAGCAGCCGCAGUAA